rnacentral:tRNA from 1 species
GCCUUUGUGGUGUAAUGGUAGGACACCUGGCGCGUUUUCCAGAGAUCCAGGUUCGAGUCCCGGUCAAGGCA